rnacentral:tRNA from 1 species
GCCUAGAUGGUUGAGUUGGUUAAGCAUCUGACUUCAGUUCAGGUCAUGGUCUCGUGGUUGUGAGUUCGAGCCCCGCGUUGGGCU